UACGUAGGGUGCAAGCGUUGUCCGGAAUUAUUGGGCGUAAAGAGCUCGUAGGCGGUUUGUUGCGUCGGCUGUGAAAACCUGAGGCUCAACCUCAGGCCUGCAGUCGAUACGAGCAGACUAGAGUGUUGCAGGGGAGACUGGAAUUCCUGGUGUAGCAGUGAAAUGCGUAGAUAUCUGCAGGAACACCCGUGGCGAAAGCGGCGCGCUGGACCACUACUGACGCUGAGGAACGAAAGCUAGGGGAGCGAACAGG
rnacentral:rRNA from 1 species